GGCUUGUUCACGAACGAGGAUUGAAGCAGUAGGUUAGGGCCCUUUCUUCUCUUCUAAUGAAAUCAAGCGAGGAAAAAAUAGGGUUUGGGUGUAUAGAAUUUUUUUCAGCAAUGUGAUAGAAGGCAGAAUUCAUGCUCAAAGUGUCCAUGGUUACUGCAGCAUUAGGACCAUCCACGACAAGUCAAAUGACACGGCUCUAUAUGGUCUUUGAGGUGGACAGACUGAUUCUACCUUGUCAUGGUAUCAUUAUAA